GCAAGUGACACGGGCGCAGGAGGCGGAGGAGAACUACGUCAUCAAGCGGGAGCUGGCGGUGGUGCGGCAGCAGUGCAGCUCGGCGGCCGAGGACCUGCAGAAGGCACAGAGCACCAUCCGGCAGCUACAAGAGCAGCAGGUAGGGGCGGGUGUGCAGGGCUGCUGGGCGGGGCCAUGCCCCGCGCCCCCGCCCUCGCCCAACGGUUUUCUUUCAGGGCUCAUAUCUGCCCCGCCUCAGCGCCUGGCCCUCCUGUUCCUUUCUGGGGUAAGGGGAACCCAGAGACAAGCGCAGAUUCUCCCCCAGCAGCUCCAC
rnacentral:sRNA from 1 species